rnacentral:rRNA from 1 species
UGAGGAAUAUUGGGCAAUGCCCGCAAGGGUGACCCAGCAACGCCGCGUGGAGGAUGAAUGUCGUAAGAUUGUAAACUCCUGUUAGAGGGGAAGAAUAGUACCGGUUGGACCGGUAUAUGACUGUACCCUCAGAGAAAGCCCCGGCUAACUACGUGCCAGCAGCCGCGGUAAUACGGAGGGUGCAAGCGUUAUCCGGAAUCACUGGGCGUAAAGGGCGCGUAGGCGGUCUGUUAAGUCCGAUGUUAAAUCCCGGGGCUCAACCCCGGAUAAGCGUUGGAUACUGGCAGGCUAGACGGUUGGAGAGGCGAGUGGAAUUACCAGUGUAGCGGUGGAAUGCGUAGAUACUGGUAGGAACACCCAUUGCGAAGGCAGCUCGCUGGACAACACGUGACGCUGAGGCGCGAAAGUGUGGGGAGCAAACAG